rnacentral:rRNA from 1 species
AUUGAACGCUGGCGGCAGGCCUAACACAUGCAAGUCGAACGAGUGGCGGACGGGUGAGUAAUGUCUGGGAAACUGCCCGAUGGAGGGGGAUAACUCCUGGAAACGGUAGCUAAUACCGCAUACCAUCGGAUCUGCCCACCUGGGAUUAGCUACUAGGUGGGGUAACGGCUCACCUAGGCGACGAUCCCUAGCUGGUCUGAGAGGAUGACCAGCCACACUGGAACGGAGACACGGUCCAGACGCCUACGGGAGGCAGCAGUGGGGAAUAGUGCACAAUGGGCGCAAGCCUGAUGCAGCCAUGCCGCGUGUAUGAAGAAGGCCUUCGGGUUGUAAAGUACUGUCAGCGAGGAGGCGUUACUCGAAGAAGAAGCACCGGCUAACUCCGUGCCAGCCGCCGCGGUAAUAC